rnacentral:lncRNA from 1 species
CUCUUCUUCUUGGGGCUUUCCUUCUCGUUGGGGUAUACCCCGAACCGAGGCCAAUGACAACAGUCGGGUGGAUGCGGACGACCGGGAGGACUUCCACCGACUGAAGGACAUGUCGGUACCGAAGCAGAGGGAGCUUGUUACCGAACAAGCUCUCUAUGACGCCGGCUUGAGUCUGGUCCCCCGAAUAGGUAUCGCCCGAUCCUCCGGCUUUUCUUUUUGUUCAUCUUUUGGUCGGCUUUUGGUCCAGCCUUUAACGCUCUUGUCGGUAUUGCAGGGACACCACCGAGGAUGAGGCCGACGGAUGCCGAGAUUCGGCAGUUC